CAAGGACGAGCUCUGUCUCCACUUCUGCAAAUAGCGACAAGUCUGAAAGUAUACCUUCUGUGAGAAGGAGACUAGUGUGGGGGAUUAGACAGCAUCAGAACUUUCCGGAACGAUAUCUAAAAUUUGGAGUUUUGAGCUCAGACUUUGAGGGAAGCACAAAUCCACGGCUGCUCGCUAGAGGAUAAGCCCCCCUGCGCUCAAACUUAAUGAGCACGAGUAAGCCCAUUCCUGCAGCUCCACGCAAGAGAAACGAUCAUGAAGUGUGCUGAAGAAUGACAGAGACAAAGCGAGAGAGACUGGAAGAAAGGACAAGCCAGAGAGUGCAAAAGCGAGAGAGGUUGUCUGCCAAAGGGAGACUCUUUAAUUCGGUCUCUGUUGAGGAGUGGGUCGAGUGGAACGCUGGCCUGUCUGUCACUGCGAGGCUCCAGUGACCGUCUGACAGAUCACAGCACAGCGCCGCAUCAGGGGGGCCAGUAAAUUGGCCCGGGGGGCCUCCCUAGUCUCCUUUCUCCAGCUGAAUCUGCAGAGGCGAGGCUGAUGGGUAGUGUGGUACACAGGAGGCUAUUUAUGAGACAUAUUUGUCCAUGGCAGCAUUUUCAGCAAAAGCGGUUUACAUGUGUUCGGGGUUGUCGGGGGGAGCGAGGCACCCUGGAAGGAAUACAGGAUGGGCUGAGUAGGUGGAGUAGGUGGGCACAAGGGGUGGGAGUACAUUAGUCCGUGAGGCCACAGCUCAGCGGGAGACCAGUCCAGACAUCAGUGGAGUAAAGUCAUCACAUCACAGUGUUUUGGUCAGGUGGCGUCCUUUCUUUCACUGUGUCCCCAGUGGGGCCUCUGUCACUAGAAAAGCCCUGUUAUUUUGUUGUAUGACGUCCCCUUAAGCGAGAUUUCACAGACUGUCCCUGAGUAUCGACAACAGACCUCUGUCUAGCCCGGAUGCUAUCCCGCAGGUAAUCCCAUAUUGUUUUUCUUCUGAGCUUGAUGCACACAGAUGCUAAAAAAAAAAACCCUCGAAGAAUGUGCGUAAUUAAAAGUACAUGUGAUCAUGUGGUCCUGCAAACUGUGUUGUUGUUUUUUUCACUUGCCUCUGGCCGCACUUCAUCCCGCUAGAUUUUCAGCUGCUGGUUGGUCGCAGCCAAUUCAGCAUGUAUCUGCUUGCGGCCACAACAGGAUUCCAGUAACACCACAUCUCAGAUCAAUAGAGACAUCCAUAAGACACAAGCUGACAAUAACAUGACUGGUAGCAGCACUGUUCAGCAUGGUGGGGGGAAAAAACAACAACAGCAACUGGAUGAACAUAAAUAAAACAGAGGCUCCCUUCUGCAUAGACUGAUUUGUAAUUAUGUCGAAAACAAA
ensembl:lncRNA